rnacentral:rRNA from 1 species
AAAGGAAUUGACGGGGGCCCGCACAAGCGGUGGAGCAUGUGGUUUAAUUCGAAGCAACGCGAAGAACCUUACCAGGUCUUGACAUCCUUUGACCACUCUAGAGAUAGAGCUUUCCCUUCGGGGACAAAGUGACAGGUGGUGCAUGGUUGUCGUCAGCUCGUGUCGUGAGAUGUUGGGUUAAGUCCCGCAACGAGCGCAACCCUUAUUGUUAGUUGCCAUCAUUUAGUUGGGCACUCUAGCGAGACUGCCGGUGACAAACCGGAGGAAGGUGGGGAUGACGUCAAAUCAUCAUGCCCCUUAUGACCUGGGCUACACACGUGCUACAAUGGGAAGUACAACGAGUCGCUAGACCGCGAGGUCAUGCAAAUCUCUUAAAGCUUCUCUCAGUUCGGAUUGCAGGCUGCAACUCGCCUGCAUGAAGCCGGAAUCGCUAGUAAUCGCGGAUCAGCACGCCGCGGUGAAUACGUUCCCGGGCCUUGUACACACCGCCCGUCACACCACGAGAGUUUGUAACACCCGAAGUCGGUGAGGUAACCUUUUUGGAGCCAGCCGCCUAAGGUGGGAUAGAUGAUUGGGGUGAAGUCGUAACAAGGUAGCCGUAUCGGAAGGUGCGGCUGGAUCACCUCCUUU